AACGAACGCUGGCGGCAUGCCUAACACAUGCAAGUCGAACGAGAAAUACGGGAAAAGUUGCGUCCGGGUGCGUACGGGGGGGUAACGUGCAAGUAGGUGCGGAAGAAAGGGCCGAAAGAGGUGCUAAUAGCGGAUAAUGUCCUGGAAGCAAAGAUUCAUCGCCAUUGGUUGGGCCGGCGUUGGAUUAGCGAGUUGGUAGGGUAAAAGCGUAGCAAGGCGACGAUCCAUAGCUGGUCUGAGAGGAUGAUCAGCCACACUGGGACUGAGACACGGCCCAGACUCCUACGGGAGGCAGCAGUGGGGAAUAUUGGACAAUGGGCGAAAGCCUGAUCCAGCAAUGCCGCGUGAGUGAUGAAGGCCUUAGGGUUGUAAAGCUCUUUUACCCGGGAUGAUAAUGACAGUACCGGGAGAAUAAGCUCCGGCUAACUCCGUG
rnacentral:rRNA from 1 species